GCGAGAAGCCGUAUCGUUGCCA
rnacentral:miRNA from 1 species